rnacentral:rRNA from 1 species
UACGGAGGGAGCUAGCGUUGUUCGGAAAUACUGGGCGUAAAGCGCACGUAGGCGGCCAAGUAAGUCAGGGGUGAAAUCCCGGGGCUCAACCCCGGAACUGCCCUUGAAACUGCUAGGCUAGAAUCUUGGAGAGGCGAGUGGAAUUCCGAGUGUAGAGGUGAAAUUCGUAGAUAUUCGGAAGAACACCAGUGGCGAAGGCGACUCGCUGGACAAGUAUUGACGCUGAGGUGCGAAAGCGUGGGGAGCAAACAGG